rnacentral:rRNA from 1 species
AAAGACCUUAUGCUUUUGGAGCGGCCGAUGUCUGAUUAGCUAGUUGGUGGGGUAAUUGCCUACCAAGGCGACGAUCAGUAGUUGGUCUGAGAGGACGGCCAGCCACACUGGGACUGAGACACGGCCCAGACUCCUACGGGAGGCAGCAGUGGGGAAUUUUGGACAAUGGGCGCAAGCCUGAUCCACCAAUGCCGCGUGAGUGAAGAAGCCCUUCGGGUUGUAAAGCUCUUCCAGUUGAGAAGAAAAGAUUGUAACUAAUAAUUCCAGUUCAUGACGGUAUCAACAGAAGAAGCCCCGGCUAACUACGUGCCAGCAGCCGCGGUAAUACGUAGGGUGCGAGCGUUAAUCGGAAUUACUGGGCGU